AGGAUAGGAUGUGCCAGCCUCUCCAGGAGACAGACAGUCUUCCCAAUAUGAACAUCCUAAUUCUGUCCCAGGAAACCCAGCUCCCCUGUGCUGGGGAGAUAGUUUGGCAGUUCUCUCAGAAUGCUCCUUACCUGCUGCUGGUCACAAACUUUCUUCACUCUUCUAUCCCCUCAUGGUAUUUACUAGCUUUGAACUCACCAAGGGCCAAACCCAACUCUGUUCCUUCACAAACUUCCAUAACAGUCAGAAAAACUAAGGGAUUGGAGAUGAGGUGGGCUGCUGAUGGCUUAGCAGCACUGACAAGACUAAUCUGGAAACCAACUUGCCAUCAUCCUGCUUCUUGGGCAGCCAAGGAAAAUGAGAUCGCAGGAGGGUACCUGGAGCCUAGUAGGGCAGCUGGCAGCCUGGACUUCUGAAGACCCAGCAGAUGCCAGCCAGAGGCGACUGCUCAGUCAUUUACUUUCCCGUCAUGACAUUGCUUGGGCACAAAUCCAGGAGAUCAGUGCCCUCUGGAAAAGUACCCGGCAGAGAUGCACCUGCUCCCUGGCCUGUGACUUGAGCUGGCUGAUCAUAAAAGGCAGGUUCCCCAGGACACCUGCCACACCACUCUGCCUGUGCACAGAGAGCCCUCCAGGAAGUGAGAGGGCCUAGAGCAGCCUCCUCAGGCAGAUGCUUUACCUCCUGCUAAGGCCUUGAGCAACAGCUUGACAUCAGAAGCCCUCACCUCCUGCUUGACACUGGAUGCAAACUCCAGGAAUUCCUGAGGAAAUGUGUGCUGAAAAUGCACUGGCAGUGAAGGACAAUCCAGUCUGAACUGCAGCGAACUUCAGCCCAAAAGAUUCAACCACCUCUGUUAAUUUGGGAGGGGAAGAUGCAGUUCAAUUGGCCCAGCACGUAGUUCUCUGGAAAUGGACUCUGGUGUUGUUAAUGUUACAAAG